rnacentral:rRNA from 1 species
AGCAGCCGCGGUAAUUCCAGCUCCAAUAGCGUAUAUUAAAGUUGUUGCAGUUAAAAAGCUCGUAGUUGAAUUUCGGGAUCAGUACGCUGGUCGUGCCUUUGGUAUGUACUGGUGUCACUGAUUCCUCCCUUCUGAAGAACCGUUAUGCCAUUUAUUUGGUGUGGCGGGGAAUCAGGACUGUUACUUUAGAAAAAAUUAGAGUGUUUAAAGCAGGCUCGCGCUUGAAUACAUUAGCAUGGAAUAAUAGAAAUAGGACGUUUGAUUCUUAUUUUGUUGGUUUCUAGGAUCGACGUAAUGAUUAAUAGGGAUAGGUUGGGGGCAUUAGUAUUCAAUUGUCAGAGGUGAAAUUCUUGGAUUUAUUGAAGACUAACUACUGCGAAAGCAUUUGCCAAGGAUGUUUUCAUUAA